rnacentral:rRNA from 1 species
AACGAACGCUGGCGGCAUGCCUAACACAUGCAAGUCGAACGAGACCUUCGGGUCUAGUGGCGCACGGGUGCGUAACGCGUGGGAAUCUGCCCUGGGGUGCGGAAUAACUCGGAGAAAUCCGUGCUAAUACCGCAUAAUGUCUUCGGACCAAAGAUUUAUCGCCCUGGGAUGAGCCCGCGUAGGAUUAGCUAGUUGGUGGGUAAAGGCCUACCAAGGCGACGAUCCUUAGCUGGUCUGAGAGGAUGAUCAGCCACACUGGGACUGAGACACGGCCCAGACUCCUACGGGAGGCAGCAGUGGGGAAUAUUGGACAAUGGGCGAAAGCCUGAUCCAGCAAUGCCGCGUGAGUGAUGAAGGCCCUAGGUGUAAAGCUCUUUACCCGGGUAUGAUAAUGACAGUACCGGGAGAAUAAGCUCCGGCUAACUCCGUGCCAGCAGCCGCGGUAAU